rnacentral:rRNA from 1 species
GACGAACGCUGGCGGCGUGCCUAACACAUGCAAGUCGAACGGAGAUUUUAUUUAUGAAAUCUUAGUGGCGAACGGGUGAGUAACGCGUAGACAACCUGCCUUUUAGAUGGGGACAACACCGCGAAAGUGGUGCUAAUACCGAAUGUUGUAUUUUGGUCGCAUGAUUGAGAUACUAAAGAUGGCCUCUAUUUAUAAGCUAUCACUAAAAGAUGGGUCUGCGUCUGAUUAGCUAGUCGGUGAGGUAAUGGCUCACCAAGGCGACGAUCAGUAGCCCGUCUGAGAGGAUGAACGGCCACACAGGGACUGGGACACGGACCAGACUCCUACGGGAGGCAGCAGUGGGGAAUCUUCCGCAAUGGACGAAAGUCUGACGGAGCAACGCCGCGUGAGUGAAGAAGGUUUUCGGAUCGUAAAACUCUGUUUUCAGGGACGAAUGUGCGAUGUGUAAAUAAUGCAUUGUAAUGACGGUACCUGAGUAGAAAGCCACGGCUAACUACGUGCCAGCCGCCGCCGUAA